rnacentral:rRNA from 1 species
GACGAACGCUGGCGGCGUGCCUAAUACAUGCAAGUAGAACGCUGAAGGAGGAGCUUGCUCUUCUGGAUGAGUUGCGAACGGGUGAGUAACGCGUAGGUAACCUGCCUGGUAGCGGGGGAUAACUAUUGGAAACGAUAGCUAAUACCGCAUAAUAGUAGAUGUUGCAUGACAUUUGCUCAAAAGGUGCAAUUGCAUCACUACCAGAUGGACCUGCGUUGUAUUAGCUAGUUGGUGAGGUAACGGCUCACCAAGGCAACGAUACAUAGCCGACCUGAGAGGGUGAUCGGCCACACUGGGACUGAGACACGGCCCAGACUCCUACGGGAGGCAGCAGUAGGGAAUCUUCGGCAAUGGACGGAAGUCUGACCGAGCAACGCCGAGUGAGUGAAGAAGGUUUUCGGAUCGUAAAGCUCUGUUGUAAGAGAAGAACGAGUGUGAGAAGUGGAAAGUUCACACUGUGACGG